CCUACGGGAGACAGCAGUGGGGGAUAUUGCACAAUGGGGGGAACCCUGAUGCAGCGACGCCGCGUGGGUGAAGAAGCGCCUCGGCGCGUAAAGCCCUGUCAGCAGGGAAGAAAAUGACGGUACCUGAAGAAGAAGCCCCGGCUAACUACGUGCCAGCAGCCGCGGUAAUACGUAGGGGGCAAGCGUUAUCCGGAUUUACUGGGUGGAAAGGGGGCGCAGACGGCGAUGCAAGCCAGGAGUGAAAGCCCGGGGCCCAACCCCGGGACUGCUCUUGGAACUGCGUGGCUGGAGUGCAGGAGGGGCAGGCGGAAUUCCUGGUGUAGCGGGGAAAUGCGUAGAUAUCAGGAGGAACACCGGUGGCGAAGGCGGCCUGCUGGACUGCAACUGACGUUGAGGCCCGAAAGCGUGGGGAGCAAACAGGAUUAGAUACCCUAGUAGUC
rnacentral:rRNA from 1 species